CGGUACAGGGUGAUAGUCCCGUACACCAAAAUGCACAGGUUGUGAACUCGAAGAGUAGGGCGGGACACGUGGUAUCCUGUCUGAAUAUGGGGGGACCAUCCUCCAAGGCUAAAUACUCCUGACUGACCGAUAGUGAACCAGUACCGUGAGGGAAAGGCGAAAAGAACCCCGGCGAGGGGAGUGAAAAAGAACCUGAAACCGUGUACGUACAAGCAGUGGGAGCACCUUCGGGUGUGACUGCGUACCUUUUGUAUAAUGGGUCAGCGACUUAUAUUCUGUAGCAAGGUUAACCGUAUAGGGGAGCCGCAGGGAAACCGAGUCUUAACUGGGCGUUAAGUUGCAGGGUAUAGACCCGAAACCCGGUGAUCU
rnacentral:rRNA from 1 species